UGGGAUGUAGCUCAGUGGUAGAGCACUUGCCUAGCACGUGGGAGGUGCUGGGUUCUAUCUCCAGCACUACAA
rfam:Ictidomys tridecemlineatus contig044499, whole genome shotgun sequence.